GAGAUUUUAUCUUAAUAAAAGUAUCUGAGUUGCAUUUAGAAGAUGGAGGUUGAUAUCCUUCAGAUCUUA
rnacentral:tRNA from 1 species